CUGGCUCCACAUUCAGUCUCCUGUUUGGUUUACGCAGCUACAGCACUUUGGUUAAAUGACAGUUCUGUCCUCUCCUUCCACCUCCAGAGUAGAGAUUCAAGGAAACAGCAGCUGUUUACAUGAACAUACAGCAUGAUUCCUGCAGGGUACCUUGCCAGCAGGAUCUGUGAUGAGUCCGUCCUGGAUGUGGAUCUUCAUGUGGCUGCGGAGCAGGGAGGGUGUCAGGAAGCUCCUGGGGCAGACGCUGCAGGAAUGAGGCUUGUUUGUCAUGUGGGUCUUCUCGUGGGCCCUCAGGCUGGUGGAGGUGCUGAAGACCUUCCGGCACACCGAGCAGUGGUGGAGCUUCUCCCUCAUGUGCAUCUUGAAGUGCUCUCGGAGCCUGGAGGGCAUCGGGUAGCUUUUACCGCAGACAGAGCAGCUGUGGAGUUUUUUCGGGCCGCUGUCUAAAAGAAAGAACCAGAAAGGAGAAAAGAUUCGGAUCAGGAGGACUGUGAAAAGACGUGGUUCAGCCAGAUGCACGAAGUCAAGCAUUUAUAUUAACAGAUUAAAAUAAAUAAAUUAAAAAACA